AUUGAACGCUGGCGGCAGGCCAAACCCAUCCAAGUCGAGCGACGGGCGGCCGGGUGAGUAAUGUAUGGGGACUGCCCGAUAGAGGGGGAUAACUCUGGAAACGGUAGCUAAUCCCGCAUAUUAUCGGGUAACCCAUAUGGGAUUAGCUAGUAGGUGGGGUAAUGUCUCACCUAGGCGACGACCCCUAGCUGGUCUGAGAGGAUGAUCAGCCACACUGGGACUGAGACACGGCCCAGACUCCUACGGAGGCAGCAGUGGGGAAUAUUGCACAAUGGGCGCAAGCCUGAUGCAGCCAUGCCGCGUGUAUGAAGAAGGCCCUAGGGUUGUAAAGUACUUUCAGUCGGGAGGCGUUACCGACAGAAGAAGCACCGGCUAACUCCGUGCCAGCAGCCGCGGUAAUUC
rnacentral:rRNA from 1 species